UGGUUGCUUGCAGACUAGCCACCUUCAUGAACGACACAGUAACUAUGUGGACCAGGAAACUCAUGACCAACCCACUGCUUCAGCAGAAACAAACGGUCAUCAAUGUCCUUUACCCUGGGAAGGCAACAGUACCUAAGACAGAAAUUCGGGAAAAACUAGCCAAAAUGUACAAGACUACUCCAGAUGUCAUCUUUGUCUUUGGAUUCAGAACCCAUUUUGAUGGUGGCAAGACAACCAGCUUUGGCAUGAUUUAUGAUUCCUUGGAUUAUGCAAAGAAAAAUGAGCCCAAACACAGGCUUGCAACGCAGGACUUGUAUGAGAAGAAAAAGACCCCGAGAAAACAGAGAAAAGAACGCAAGAACAGGAUGAAGAAAGUCAGGGGAACUGCAAAGGCCAAUGUGGGUGCUGGCAAAAAGGAGUAAAGAUUCUGCAGUGACUGUGUCUAUGGUGAUUGUGCAAAAUUUUCAUGAGGGGCCUAAUAAACUAAGAACUUUUAC